UAGGGAAUUUUCGGCAAUGGGGGAAACCCUGACCGAGCAACGCCGCGUGAGUGAAGAAGGCCUUAUGGGUUGUAAAGCUCUGUUAUAAGGGAAGAAAAUAUCUAACGAACUUAGAUAGUGACGGUACCUUAUCAGAAAGCCACGGCUAACUACGUGCCAGCAGCCGCGGUAAUACGUAGGUGGCAAGCGUUAUCCGGAAUUAUUGGGCGUAAAGGGUGCGUAGGCGGUUUAUUAAGUUUAUGUUGAAAGUGCGAUGCUCAACAUCGUAUAGGCAUAAAGACUGAUAGACUAGAGUACAGAAGAGGGCAAUGGAAUUCCAUGUGUAGCGGUAAAAUGCGUAGAUAUAUGGAGGAACACCAGUGGCGAAGGCGGUUGCCUGGUCUGUAACUGACGCUGAGGCACGAAAGCGUGGGGAGCAAAUA
rnacentral:rRNA from 1 species